AUGUGCAAGUUGGAAUAUAAGUGGCCAAGUUUGAAUACAAUGUAAUAUUAUAAUUUCAUGUGGUUUCUCAAUGGGGUUUUCACCCCAUUGGUCUCGUAUUCCUCCUUUGUAGUUAAUCAUUAGUUCGAGCGUAAUGUUUAAGUGUAAACAUCAUACCGGUUUAAGUUACCUCAAUUUUUAACAUGGUAUCAGAACCCAUGGUCUCUGGUUAUGUGAAAUUCAUCUAGAUUUUGUGAAAAAGAGUUGUAUGUUAUUCGAGCAUAUAUGUUAUUGCCUCGGAUUCCUCUUUUGGGGUUUGGAUUUCUGCUCCAACUUCUGGUCCUCGACAUCAUAAAUAAUUUGAUAUCCUACAUCAAACAUUUUGGACUAAUAUUUUUCUAAGUUUUUCCCAAAUUUAUGGACUUUUAAAUCUUGGAUUUAUUUUCUUAUCAUGGAUUAAAAAAAAAAGAAGUUCCAGAUUAUCUAGAUUCUAGAUUUUGGUUGAGUUUUGAAUUUUGAUUCCAAUUCUAGGCAUGUUUUAUUCCAGAUUUCUAAUUUAACUUCUGGCUUCGCCUUUGUGUUUAUUUGGUGUUCAUCAUUCAGACUGCGUGAAAAAGCAACAACUUGGAACCUUGGUCCUACAUCAGAUUCCUGUUUCUUUGUGUUUUAAUCUAGAAAAUCUUUCCAGAAUUUCUGGUUCUGAUUUUCUACAAGCUUCUGGGUUUGGUUAUGUAUCUGGAUAGUAUCUAGACUUUUGGUUUCUUGGUCUUUGAACCUUGGUUUAUAUUUAGAACAUUUGAACCACUAGCUGCCAGCAUUGUUUGAACUCCCUGCUUGUUAAUUUGAACCCUCAGUUUGUGUGACAACCCUCGUUUAGCCAUGUUAUUAUCCGUACGAUUAAAUUACGUGCACUCAUUUAUAUGAAUCAUAUAAACUUACUUUAGCGAUAACUAGACCAUACAAUGUGUUGUAUAUGCAUGACUAGGCACGGUUUUAGUAUGACUAGUAGAGAAUAGUAUCACCAAGAACACCUUAGGACAAAUUCAAGUUAAAAUGAUCAACAGACAGCUUAAAAUAACAAACAAUGGUGAUAUACGAAUUACAAAACAACAAAACCCUAAGUUAACGAACGCGUCAAAUUCUAUCGAAUUCUACUGUCAUCUAUGGAUUUUAUAACUUGUAUGGACUAUAAAAAUAUCUAUUUUAUAAACAAUAUUUUUAUAGCAUGGAAAAAUUAUCGUUUAAUGCAUUAAAAAUAAACAAUACAUAAGCUUGUGUUUAUACAUGCUUAGUACAAACUAUGUAUUCAUUUCAUAAAAAUACGCUAACUAAUAUCUAUAAUAAGAUUUGGGAGCCUUAAAUAUAUAGUUUUGAGGGGAUAAGAACAAUUGUAUAGAGCCUUUAACAUGUGCAAAUGAGACCCAUGUAAAUACUUACAAAAGUACAUGCCUUAAACUAUCAAGUCUUAUACGUAAGAAUCUAAUCAUCACCACAAUACCCUCCUCCCACUUUCCUCCUUCUCCAUCUCGACUCUCUCUAAUAGAAAUAAAAGUACGAAACUGAUAAAUAAUCGAAGUAACAUAAAAAAGGAUAGAUAACAGGGUGAACAAGAUACAGAAAUCACCACUUAAACAACUCGUUGGGCAAUCUAAACUUGAAUCGAGAUACAGAAAAUCACUACACGAUCCAACUUUAGGCUCCAAAGAACACCGUUCAAAUUGCCAAAUUUGAACUAGCAAUGGAAGAAUCAAUUUUAAGUCACAAAUCCAUUGAGAUAAAAUUAACACACAAUUUUUAAAACUCAUAAACUCACUGCCUUUGAAUCAUUCUCAAAUUCAACACAUAUAGGAUCCAUACACUACCCCACGAAGCCUUAAUCUAGGA
rnacentral:lncRNA from 1 species